rnacentral:rRNA from 1 species
AUACGGAGGAUCCAAGCGUUAUCCGGAAUCAUUGGGUUUAAAGGGUCCGUAGGUGGAUAAUUAAGUCAGAGGUGAAAUCCUGCAGCUCAACUGUAGAAUUGCCUUUGAAACUGGUUGUCUUGAAUUAUUGUGAAGUGGUUAGAAUAUGUAGUGUAGCGGUGAAAUGCAUAGAUAUUACAUAGAAUACCAAUUGCGAAGGCAGGUCACUAACAAUACAUUGACACUGAUGGACGAAAGCGUGGGGAGCGAACAGGAUUAGAUACCCUGGUAGUCCACGCCGUAAACGAUGGUCACUAGCUGUUCGGACUUCGGUCUGAGUGGCUAAGAGAAAUUGAUAAGUGACCCACCUGGGGAGUACGUUCGCAAGAAUGAA